rnacentral:rRNA from 1 species
CUGAUGUUAGCGGCGGACGGGUGAGUAACACGUGGAUAACCUACCUAUAAGACUGGGAUAACUUCGGGAAACCGGAGCUAAUACCGGAUAAUAUUUUGAACCGCAUGGUUCAAAAGUGAAAGACGGUCUUGCUGUCACUUAUAGAUGGAUCCGCGCUGCAUUAGCUAGUUGGUAAGGUAACGGCUUACCAAGGCAACGAUGCAUAGCCGACCUGAGAGGGUGAUCGGCCACACUGGAACUGAGACACGGUCCAGACUCCUACGGGAGGCAGCAGUAGGGAAUCUUCCGCAAUGGGCGAAAGCCUGACGGAGCAACGCCGCGUGAGUGAUGAAGGUCUUCGGAUCGUAAAACUCUGUUAUUAGGGAAGAA